UACUGAGUUUACGCUCUAUAACCCUUUGUGAACAUACCUAUAACUGUUGCUUCGGCGGGUAGGGUCUCCGUGACCCUCCCGGCCUCCCGCCCCCGGGCGGGUCGGCGCCCGCCGGAGGAUAACCAAACUCUGAUUUAACGACGUUUCUUCUGAGUGGUACAAGCAAAUAAUCAAAACUUUUAACAACGGAUCUCUUGGUUCUGGCAUCGAUGAAGAACGCAGCGAAAUGCGAUAAGUAAUGUGAAUUGCAGAAUUCAGUGAAUCAUCGAAUCUUUGAACGCACAUUGCGCCCGCCAGCAUUCUGGCGGGCAUGCCUGUUCGAGCGUCAUUUCAACCCUCAAGCUCUGCUUGGUGUUGGGGCCCUACAGCUGAUGUAGGCCCUCAAAGGUAGUGGCGGACCCUCCCGGAGCCUCCUUUGCGUAGUAACUUUACGUCUCGCACUGGGAUCCGGAGGGACUCUUGCCGUAAAACCCCCAAUUUUCCAAAGGUUGACCUCGGAUCAGGUAGGAAUACCCGCUGAACUUAAGCAUAUCAAUAAGCGGAGGAAAAGAAACCAACAGGGAUUGCCUCAGUAACGGCGAGUGAAGCGGCAACAGCUCAAAUUUGAAAUCUGG
rnacentral:rRNA from 1 species